GUUCCAGGUUGGGUAGUGGUUCCAGGUUGGAUGGUGUUUCCAGGUUCCAGGUUGGAUGGUGUUUCCAGGUUCCAGGUUGGGUGGUGUUUCCAGGUUGGGUGGUGUUUCCAGGUUCCAGGUUGGGUAGUGGUUCCAGGUUGGAUGGUGUUUCCAGGUUGGGUGGUGUUUCCAGGUUCCAGGUUGGGUGGUGGUUCCAGGAUGGAUGGUGUUUCCAGGUUCCAGGUUGGAUGGUGUUUCCAGGUUCCAGGUUGGAUGGUGUUUCCAGGUUAGAUGGUGUUUCCAGGUUCCAGGUUGGGUAGUGUUUCCAGGUUGGAUGGUGUUUCCAGGUUCCAGGUUGGAUGGUGUUUCCAGGUUCCAGGUUGCAUGGUGUUUUCAGGUUCCAGGUUGGAUGGUGUUUUCAGGUUCCAGGUUGGAUGGUGUUUCCAGGUUCCAGGUUGGAUGGUGUUUCCAGGUUCCUGGUUGGAUGGUGUUUCCAGGUUCCAGGUUGGAUGGUGGUUCCAGGUUCCAGGUUGGGUGGUGGUUCCAGGUUCCAGGUUGGGUGGUGGUUCCAGGUUCCAGGUUGGGUGGUGUUUCCAGGUUCCAGGUUGGGUGGUGUUUCCAGGUUCCAGGUUGGGUGGUGUUUUCAGGUUCCAGGUUGGAUGGUGUUUUCAGGUUCCAGGUUGGAUGGUGUUUCCAGGUUCCAGGUUGGAUGGUGUUUCCAGGUUCCAGGAUGGAUGGUGUUUCCAGGUUCCAGGUUGGAUGGUGUUUCCAGGUUAGAUGGUGUUUCCAGGUUCCAGGUUGGGUGGUGUUUCCAGGUUGGAUGGUGUUUCCAGGUUCCAGGUUGGAUGGUGUUUCCAGGUUCCAGGUUGGAUGGUGUUUCCAGGUUCCAGGUUGCAUGGUGUUUUCAGGUUCCAGGUUGGAUGGUGUUUUCAGGUUCCAGGUUGGAUGGUGUUUCCAGGUUCCAGGUUGGAUGGUGUUUCCAGGUUCCUGGUUGGAUGGUGUUUCCAGGUUCCAGGUUGGAUGGUGGUUCCAGGUUCCAGGUUGGAUGGUGGUUCCAGGUUCCAGGUUGGGUGGUGUUUCCAGGUUCCAGGUUGGGUGGUGGUUCCAGGUUGGAUGGUGUUUCCAGGUUGGAUGGUGUUUCCAGGUUCCAGGUUGGAUGGUGUUUCCAGGUUCCUGGUUGGAUGGUGUUUCCAGGUUCCAGGUUGGAUGGUGGUUCCAGGUUCCAGGUUGGAUGGUGUUUUCAGGUUCCAGGUUAGAUGGUGUUUCCAGGUUCCAGGUUGGGUGGUGUUUCCAGGUUCCAGGUUGGGUGGUGUUUUCAGGUUCCAGGUUGGGUGGUGUUUCCAGGUUCCAGGUUGGGUGGUGGUUCCAGGUUGGGUGGUGGUUCCAGGUUCCAGGUUGGAUGGUGUUUCCAGGUUCCAGGUUGGGUGGUGUUUCCAGGUUCCAGGUUGGGUGGUGUUUUCAGGUUCCAGGUUGGGUGGUGUUUUCAGGUUCCAGGUUGGGUGGUGUUUUCAGGUUCCAGUUUAGGUGGUGUUUUCACGUUCCAGGUUCGGGGGAUGUUUCCAGGUUCCAGGUUGGGUGGUGGUUCCAGGUUCCAGGUUGGAUGGUGUUUCCAGGUUGGAUGGUGUUUUCAGGUUCCAGGUUGGAUGGUGUUUCCAGGUUGGAUGGUGUUUCCAGGUUCCAGGUUGGAUGGUGUUUUCAGGUUCCAGGUUGGAUGGUGUUUCCAGGUUCCAGGUUGGAUGGUGUUUCCAGGUUCCAGGUUGGGUGGUGUUUCCAGGUUCCAGGUUGGGUGGUGGUUCCAGGUUGGAUGGUGGUUCCAGGUUGGAUGGUGGUUCCAGGUUCCAGGUUGGGUGGUGUUUCCAGGUUCCAGGUUGGGUGGUGUUUUCAGGUUCCAGGUUGGGUGGUGUUUCCAGGUUCCAGGUUGGGUGGUGUUUCCAGGUUCCAGGUUGGGUAGUGGUUCCAGGUUGGAUGGUGUUUCCAGGUUGGGUGGUGUUUCCAGGUUCCAGGUUGGGUGGUG
rnacentral:lncRNA from 1 species